GACGAACGCUGGCGGCGUGCUUAACACAUGCAAGUCGAACGGAAAGGCCCUGCUUUUGUGGGGUGCUCGAGUGGCGAACGGGUGAGUAACACGUGAGUAACCUGCCCUUGACUUUGGGAUAACUUCAGGAAACUGGGGCUAAUACCGGAUAGGAGCUCCUGCUGCAUGGUGGGGGUUGGAAAGUUUCGGCGGUUGGGGAUGGACUCGCGGCUUAUCAGCUUGUUGGUGGGGUAGUGGCUUACCAAGGCUUUGACGGGUAGCCGGCCUGAGAGGGUGACCGGCCACAUUGGGACUGAGAUACGGCCCAGACUCCUACGGGAGGCAGCAGUGGGGAAUAUUGCACAAUGGGCGGAAGCCUGAUGCAGCAACGCCGCGUGCGGGACGACGGCCUUCGGGUUGUAAACCGCUUUCGCCUGUGACGAAGCGUGAGUGACGGCAAUGGGUAAAGAAGCACCGGCUAACUACGUG
rnacentral:rRNA from 1 species